rnacentral:rRNA from 1 species
UACGUAGGGCGCAAGCGUUAUCCGGAAUUAUUGGGCGUAAAGAGCUCGUAGGCGGUCUGUCGCGUCGAAUGUGAAAACCCGGGGCUCGACUCCGGGCUUGCAUUCGAUACGGGCAGGCUAGAGUUCGGUAGGGGAGUCUGGAAUUCCUGGUGUAGCGGUGGAAUGCGCAGAUAUCAGGAGGAACACCAAUAGCGAAGGCAGCUCGCUGGGACGGUACUGACGCUAAGGCGCGAAAGCGUGGGGAGCAAACAGG